ensembl:lncRNA novel transcript
GGGAAGCGCAGCCUCGGCGGGGCCCGGCCGGCGGCGGGGAGGUCGCGGGGCCGGGAGGCGCGAGGUAGGCGGGAGCCGCGGUGAGGAGGACGGUCGAACCCGUGGCUGAGGCCCAGCGCCGAGAAGCGGCAGGCAGAGUUCGGGGUCGGGGAGUUUAUCCUGCGCUGGCCUCGGCAGGGGUCCCCGGGGUGGUUGAUCCUCGACUGGCCCGGGAGGCGCCUGGGUCCGCGCGGGACCUCUCUGCCUCCUCCUCCGACCCGUGCGGGGCGGUCGGGGGCGCUCCCGAGGGGGUCCCGGGAAAGGCGGGGUCUGGCAGGGGGUCCUGGGCGCUGGGUCGUUCAGAAGCACGGCUUUACUCCAGUUACCCUCUUUUUAUCCAAGGCCGGGGUUCCCCGGGUGCCUGGUAGCAGUGAAACCCCAAGUCCCUCGGUUAGGGGAGCCGUGACCCUGGGAGCUUUUGAGCUCUCUGGUAUAACAUCCUUUUACAUCCUAAGAGACACAGUUCUGUGCUUGCUUAGGACUUUUUUCGUAUGCGCCCUUUCUUCCCCCAAAAAACAAAAAACCGAAAAAACUUGUAUGUCUCUCCCGCCCACCCGUACUUUCACUAUUCAUUUACCUCAUAGAAGUUGGUCAAAUUUUCCAUUCGAAGACGAGUUUUAUGCUGCGGUAGCUUCAAGCAAUAAGUCGAACACUGUGUUGAAAUUAAGUCUUGGAUCCGACUACUUCCAGCGAAGUGAGGAGUUGGUCCAAUAGAAAUUAUUUUCCAAAAUGUGUUGUAAUUCUCCUGUUGCUCCACAAAUAAGGGGUUAUCAGAGAGGAAAACGUUGACUGACUUCGCAUUUCUGAAAGCUGGUUUGUAGUCGCCUUAUUUCAUCCUUACCCUUCUCUGGAAAUGUGACAUUAGUUCUGUUUGUGCUUAAGACAAAGGAAACAGCUGGCACCUUUCGGGAAGGUGGCUCCAGUACAGUUGUUUCCAGGUGUUAAGCUGUAUGAGAAAGUAGAAAAGUAAUCAGAAAUCCUUACUAGUUUUCAUUUAAUCAUUUAAUUAUUAAUUUUAACCAUCAUUAUUUGUCGUCUACUUGUUUUGUGUAAAAUGAGUAAUACACUCAAAGUUCUUGUUAAUAGGAAAUUAUUGUUUGAUAAAGCUGGCUUUAUGGCUUGGUUAUUUUGAUACCUGCUAUGAAAUUCUAUGUCCAGAAGAGUGCAGCAUAUCCAAGCAGGGUAAUAAGUUCAGAAGGACUGAAAAAGAAAACAAAGAUGAUUUUUCUUUAAUGAUGGAAAGGCAAUUUUUAUUUCAAACGAUUAUGCAUUUGUAGGUUGUGCAUAGGCUGAAAGGUUUGAAUCACUGUGAAAUAAUGUUUCUAACAACAUCCUUAAAACUGAGUUACCUCUUGAAUGGAUAGAUAAAUAGGAACUGGGUUAACUACCCCAAACGCUAAUCUCUUUAUGAUCAUCCUUUUUUGGAAUGAUUUAUUAUUUUAAAAAUUAUGUUGUAAGAAUGGAAUUAUAGCCCCGGAAAUAUUUAGAAGCUUUAUUUCAAAUUAAUGUUAUUAAGUAUUCCAGCAAAACAAUAAAUUCCACUUUUAAGUAUAUGUUAAAAUGGUGAUAAAUAAAAGUUAUAACUUAAUUCUA